UGACUGAUGCGAUUUUGUGGAAAGCUACUUUAAACUUAGCAGCUCAUGAUUGAACAUGGAAAAAGCCACCAACACAGUGUUCAUUUUGUUACCCAAACACCAGGGGUGAGGUCGUUGCUAUGCCACACAGAAAGCCAAUCAGUGAGAGGAGGAUUGCCAGGAAAGAAGCCUUUUUAUUCAUGCGAUGUCAGCCCAGGAAAAUAGGAGAUCAGUCUCAAAUCUGUCUCCCCUACCAACUGAAAUUGAGGGCUUUAUGUAUCAGGAGGAGGAAUCAAAUAUAGAUACCUGGAGAAUUCCAAGAAUACAGUCUAAGUUUCUAACUUUCCUUGCUAGUGUAAUUAUGUGAAUAAUUUCUGGCCAAUAAGACAAGCAAAAGAAUUGUGUGCAACUUCUGGGAAGAGAAGAGAUGUGACUUCCUUCAUCUUGUUCUUCACCUUGCUGUCUGGAAUAUGAACUUGAUGGCUGGAACUUGAGCAGCCUUCUUGGAUCAGAAGGCGGCCUGGGAAUAGGAAUAGAGCUGAAGAGAAGCCGCUGCAUUCUUGAAAAUUAUAAAGAUGCCAUGCCAUUUCAGCUUGCUUUCCUGUGGACUUCAUUUAUAUGUAUGAAAUAAAAGUUUAUAUUGUUUAA